AGCUGUGGCAGUAGGAAUGUAUGUGAGGCAACCUGCCAGGGUAAUGAGAUGAAGAAACAAAUAAAAUGUAAAGGCUACAGAAUGAAGAAGCAAUACUGUCUGUGCCUGUAAACCCCCGUCACCUGAUGGAAUGGAUGUCUGCCCUAUAUCUCAGGGCUUUGUUAUAAACUCAAAUGAAAGGAUAUUUAUGAAAGAACAGUAUGAACUAAACUACAAACACAAGAACGCUGAAUCUCCCGGACUGGCCCUCUGGACUCGAAUAUCAGCACUUGGGGAUGAAUGAAGAAGGUGCAUCAUUUCCAGGGAAGCAGAUUUGCUGUUGACUAAUAAAGACCAUUUACUUGGAGUGGGGCCAACAAAAGCCUAAUUGUCUUUUGUAGCCUGUUUCUGUUUUGUGUUCCAUUUCCGCAAAUAAUAUUUAAAUAGACAUUUAAAAUUAAUUCUAAUGGGCUAUCUCAUAAAAUUAUCUGAAUAACUAAUAUAAAAGAUUCAGGGCCAGGUGAAGUGGCUCAGGCCUGUAAUCCCAGAACUUUGGGAAGCCAAGGCAGGAGGAUCACUUGAGCUCAGUCUGGGUAACAUAGUGAGACCCCAACUUUACAAAAUAUCAAAAAUUUAGCCGGGCGUGGUGGUGCUUGCCUGUAGUCCUAGCUGCUCGGGAGGCUGAGGCGACAGGGUUGCUUGAGUUCAG
rnacentral:lncRNA from 10 species